UUGAAGAGUUUGAUCAUGGCUCAGAUUGAACGCUGGCGGCAGGCCUAACACAUGCAAGUCGAACGGUAACAGGAAGCAGCUUGCUGCUUUGCUGACGAGUGGCGGACGGGUGAGUAAUGUCUGGGAAACUGCCUGAUGGAGGGGGAUAACUACUGGAAACGGUGGCUAAUACCGCAUAACGUCGCAAGACCAAAGAGGGGGACCUUCGGGCCUCUUGCCAUCAGAUGUGCCCAGAUGGGAUUAGCUUGUUGGUGAGGUAACGGCUCACCAAGGCGACGAUCCCUAGCUGGUCUGAGAGGAUGACCAGCCACACUGGAACUGAGACACGGUCCAGACUCCUACGGGAGGCAGCAGUGGGGAAUAUUGCACAAUGGGCGCAAGCCUGAUGCAGCCAUGCCGCGUGUAUGAAGAAGGCCUUCGGGUUGUAAAGUACUUUCAGCGGGGAGGAAGGUGUUGUGGUUAAUAACCGCAGCAAUUGACGUUACCCGCAGAAGAAGCACCGGCUAACUCCGUGCCAGCAGCCGCGGUAAUACGGAGGGUGCAAGCGUUAAUCGGAAUUACUGGGCGUAAAGCGCACGCAGGCGGUCUGUCAAGUCGGAUGUGAAAUCCCCGGGCUCAACCUGGGAACUGCAUUCGAAACUGGCAGGCUUGAGUCUUGUAGAGGGGGGUAGAAUUCCAGGUGUAGCGGUGAAAUGCGUAGAGAUCUGGAGGAAUACCGGUGGCGAAGGCGGCCCCCUGGACAAAGACUGACGCUCAGGUGCGAAAGCGUGGGGAGCAAACAGGAUUAGAUACCCUGGUAGUCCACGCCGUAAACGAUGUCUACUUGGAGGUUGUGCCCUUGAGGCGUGGCUUCCGGAGCUAACGCGUUAAGUAGACCGCCUGGGGAGUACGGCCGCAAGGUUAAAACUCAAAUGAAUUGACGGGGGCCCGCACAAGCGGUGGAGCAUGUGGUUUAAUUCGAUGCAACGCGAAGAACCUUACCUGGUCUUGACAUCCACAGAACUUUCCAGAGAUGGAUUGGUGCCUUCGGGAACUGUGAGACAGGUGCUGCAUGGCUGUCGUCAGCUCGUGUUGUGAAAUGUUGGGUUAAGUCCCGCAACGAGCGCAACCCUUAUCCUUUGUUGCCAGCGGUCCGGCCGGGAACUCAAAGGAGACUGCCAGUGAUAAACUGGAGGAAGGUGGGGAUGACGUCAAGUCAUCAUGGCCCUUACGACCAGGGCUACACACGUGCUACAAUGGCGCAUACAAAGAGAAGCGACCUCGCGAGAGUAAGCGGACCUCAUAAAGUGCGUCGUAGUCCGGAUUGGAGUCUGCAACUCGACUCCAUGAAGUCGGAAUCGCUAGUAAUCGUGGAUCAGAAUGCCACGGUGAAUACGUUCCCGGGCCUUGUACACACCGCCCGUCACACCAUGGGAGUGGGUUGCAAAAGAAGUAGGUAGCUUAACCUUCGGGGGGGCGCUUACCACUUUGUGAUUCAUGACUGGGGUGAAGUCGUAACAAGGUAACCGUAGGGGAACCUGCGGUUGGAUCACCUCCUU
rnacentral:rRNA from 1 species